GCCUACAGUGUUACAACCCUGAGAAUGCCCAAUCUUGUCCGAUCAAGGAAGCUAAGCAGGGUUGGGUUUUGGGUCUUCUCUAGGGUUAGAUGACAAUAUAGGAGGACCACCAAGAUAUGUUCACUGAGGCU
rnacentral:rRNA from 14 species